GAGUCCUGUUGAGUAGACCCUGGAGUCCUGUUGAGUAGACCCUGGAGUCCUGUUGAGUAGACCCUGGAUCCUGUUGAGUAGACCCUGGAGUCCUGUUGAGUAGACCCUGGAGUCCUAUUGAGUAGACCCUGGAGUCCUAUUGAGUAGACCCUGGAGUCCUAUUGAGUAGACCCUGAAGUCCUAUUGAGUAGACCCUGAAGUCCUAUUGAGUAAAAUAAUCUGCACUUUGUUUGCACCCCCCUUCCAUUGUGAAAAGCAAAUGUCUCGGUAACUUGUUAGCUUUUAACUUUGUUUGCAUGUAAAUAAAUAUUUUUUUCCUAGACUCAAUGCGGUUACAAACGGCCUCCACACUUCACCACAGACCCCUCUAGUGAAUGGCAACAUUUUUGUCUUAUUGUCCCUCAGCCCCAAUGUUGGCAGAUAGGAGAGGUUACAGCAAUGGGACGGGGUCAUGGGUUCAUUAUACUUCAAACAGAGUCAUUAGGCUGUUCGCUAAAAUCUAUCCUUUUGUAGCAGAAACAGCUUGAGCGGGGCAAACCACGCUUUUCACCAAUAUCCCACAGUCUGAACCAGGGCUAGACCUGCCAGUGGGCCAGCAACAGUCCAAACCUUAAUCCACUGUGACAUCAAUUAAGAAUAAUCUCAUCACUUUUAGAGAUUGGGCUUGUCAAAGCUUUAAUUAAGUUCUCUCGGUGUCUCUCCUAUAUAGUGCAGACAAGAUCAACAACACAUUAUGGUAUAGUGAUGGACUUUAGAAUCCCAGAGGCGAUUUGUGUGGAUGUCACUUUUAACCUGGUGUGAACUUGGGUCUCUGGAGAAAUCUUCUAUAUUAGUUUACAGUUGGAAAAUUUAUAUGUUCAGCUCCUUAUUGAUUUAAAUGACUUCCAAUAGUAGUCGGAAUGAACGAUCAAUAUGAUGGCAUUUUGAGCUUUGUUUUGUUGUGACUUAGAAAUGUUGUAGAUUCCGAUGAUUCUCUGUAAAGGUACUACAGUGGGGUCUGAAAUUAUUGACACUUGAUAAAUAUGCAAAAAUGACUGUAAAAUAAAUUAUUCAAAUACUGAGCUAUAUUGUAUGCUCCAAAAAAUUGGGAAAUCUUAUUUUUUUUUUGGUGGAUUUGGUCUUGAAAUGAGAAGACACAAGCUGAAAAUAACCCCAUCUCUACUGUCAAAUAUGGUGGUAGCUCUGAUGUUAUGAGCUAUUUUUCUUCCACUGGUCCAGGGUCCCUUGUUAAAGUCAACGGCAUCAUGAACUCUACCAAGUAACAGGACAUUUUAGCCAAAAACCUGGUUGCCCCUAGCAGGAGGCUAAAAUGUAGCCUGAAGUGGAUCUUCCAGCAAGACACCAACUCUAAAACACACGUCAAAAUCCAAGUGUUAUGAAUCUUAUACUGGAUACACAUGGUAUACGCUGUCCAACGAAAUGCUUACCUGCAGGUUUCUUCUUGACAAUGCAAGAAUAAUAAGAAAUAAAAUAAGAAUAUGAAC
ensembl:lncRNA